rnacentral:rRNA from 1 species
CCUACGGGUGGCAGCAGUGGGGGAUAUUGCACAAUGGGGGAAACCCUGAUGCAGCGACGCCGCGUGUGGGACGACGGUCCUCUGGAUUGUAAACCACUGUCCCCAGGGACGAAGAUGACGUUCCCUGGGGAGGCCGCUCCGGCUAACUAGGUGCCAGCAGCCUCGGUAAUUCGGAGGGAGCGAGCGUUGUCCGGACUUACUGGGUGUAAAGGGGGCGCAGCCGGCGAUGCAAGCCAGGAGUGCAAGCCCGGGGCCCAAACCCGGGACUGCUGUUGGAACUGCGUGGCUGUAGUGCAGGAGGGGCAGGCGGAAUGCCUGGUGUAGCGGUGAAAUGCGUAGAUAUCAGGAGGAACGCCGGUGGCGAAGGCGGCAUGCUGGACUGAAACUGACGUUGAGGCACGAAAGCGUGGGGAGCAAACAGGAUUAGAUACCCGGGUAGUC